rnacentral:rRNA from 1 species
GAUGAACGCUAGCGGCAGGCUUAACACAUGCAAGUCGAGGGGCAGCACGUCUUCGGAUGGUGGCGACCGGCGCACGGGUGCGUAACGCGUAUAGAACCUACCUUUUACAGGGGAAUAGCCCAGAGAAAUUUGGGAUUAAUGCCCCAUAGUAUUAUUGAAUGGCAUCAUUUAAUAAUUAAACAUUUAUGGGUAAAAGAUGGCUAUGCGUUCUAUUAGCUAGUAGGUAAGGUAACGGCUUACCUAGGCAACGAUAGAUAGGGGUCCUGAGAGGGAGAUCCCCCCACACUGGUACUGAGACACGGACCAGACUCCUACGGGAGGCAGCAGUGAGGAAUAUUGGACAAUGGGCGAGAGCCUGAUCCAGCCAUGCCGCGUGCAGGAAGACGGUCCUAUGGAUUGUAAACUGCUUUUUAAUACAGGAAGAAACACUCGGACGUGUCCGAGCUUGACGGUACUGUAUGAAUAAGCACCGGCUAACUACGUGCCAGCAGCCGCGGUAA